GUGGCCAGCGCGUCAUGGCGGGGACUCGUGGGAGACUGCCGGGGUCAACUCGGAGGAAGGUGGGGAUGACGUCAAGUCAUCAUGCCCCUUAUGUCCAGGGCUUCACACAUGCUACAAUGGCUGGUGCAGAGGGCUGCGAUACCGCGAGGUGGAGCGAAUCCCUUAAAGCCGGUCUCAGUUCGGAUCGCAGUCUGCAACUCGACUGCGUGAAGUCGGAGUCGCUAGUAAUCGCGGAUCACCAACGCUGCGGUGAAUACGUUCCCGGGCCUUGUACACACCGCCCGUCACGUCAUGAAAGUCGGUAACACCCGAAGCCCAUGGCCCAACCCGCAAGGGAGGGAGUGGUCGAAGGUGGGACUGGCGAUUGGGACGAA
rnacentral:rRNA from 1 species